GUUGAACGCUGGCGGCAGGCCUAACACAUGCAAGUCGAGCGGAUGAAGGGAGAUUGCUCCUGGCUUCAGCGGCCGACGGGUGGGUAAUGCCUAGGAAUCUGCCUGGCAGUGGGGGAUAACGUACGGACACGGGCGCUAAUACCGCAUACGUCCUGAGGGAGAACGGCGGGGAUCUUCGGACCUAACGCUAUUAGCUGAGCCUAGGUCGGAUUAGCUAGUUGGGUGGGUAAAGGCCUACCAAGGCGACGAUCCGUAACUGGUCCGAGUGGAUGACCAGUCACACUGGAACUGAGACACGGUCCAGACUCCUACGGGAGGCAGCAGUGGGGAAUAUUGGACAAUGGGCGAAAGCCUGAUCCAGCCAUGCCGCGUGUGUGAAGAAGGUCUUCGGAUUGUAAAGCACUUUUAGUUGGGAGGAAGGGCAGUAAGAUAAUACCUUGCUGUUUUGACGUUACCAACAGAAUAAGCACCGGCUAACUUCGUG
rnacentral:rRNA from 1 species